GAGGCGGGCGGGGGGACACCCCUCACCGCCUCACACCGGCCGGUCCGGCCCGGCUCCCUCGGCGCUGCAAAAGUCGAUAGGCGCGGGGAGAAGUGAAGAUGUUUGCGAUUGCCUCAGUGAGCAUGAUGAAACACUGAAAUUCAUGAACCAACUGUCUGGAGUGGCACAUAUAUUACUGGGCCCAAGGAAUUCUGGUUGUGCUGUUUGAUGCUUGCCAUGUUCACCAAUAGCAGCAUCUCAACCCAGUCUUGAUGCUCAAGUUCCAGAGCAUCUGUUAGACCUUCUCCCAGUCAGAAGACUACAAAGGAAACAAAGAACAACUUUGAAAUAAAUAAAUGCUCUUUGAAUUUCUAUCCCCUUAA
rnacentral:lncRNA from 1 species